rfam:Acidobacteria bacterium RIFCSPLOWO2_02_FTLL_68_18 rifcsplowo2_02_scaffold_464, whole genome shotgun sequence.
UAGCUCCUGCUUUGCUCGUGAUGGUUUCGGAGGCUCGUCUGAGCCAACGUUAAACCCCAAGCGAGCCGCGAGGACGCGCGGUGUGCAUGCCUCCGAGGCGAGGAAGCCUGAAGCGCGACCGACAACAGCGGUUCCACCUGCUUUCGCAGGUUCAUUCGACCUCCCCACACGGCAAAGCGGGGCUCC